GCUUCAUUACGUCACUUGCUGGUGAUGUUGUGUUCUCUGUUGUAAACAUGAUGAUGUCAUGCAGGGACAUCAGAGGCAGGAAGUCGGAGUGAGGGAGAGACAGGAGCAGACCAACAGUAUUUUUGGUCAGGUGUGAGCUUUUGCUGCCAUGAGACUCUGUCCUACUGGUUAAAUAUUGCAUUAGCAUGAAAAAUACAACUUCAAACCUCUUCAAGUA